GGUUGAUUGUAGUGUUAAAUGGCGUAUAGCGGGUUAUUUCCGCGGGGUGUAAAUUUUCGCUUAUUUUCGCGGAUAGAACAAAAUCGCCAAAAUAAUUCCGCCAAUUUAAAAGUGUACAGUCUACAUGCAAAGGUAUAGAUAAAAGUUUUGAAUUCGCCAAAAUAAUAACCGCCAAAAUAUACCUAUAAGUUAUUGAAUGAAAAUCGCUAAAUCUUACACCCGCUAAAAUAACCCGCUAUACGGUAACAUGUAAGUGAUUAUCAAUAUAUUGCGGGAUUCUGAAUUGUUUUGUAAAGGGCUUAAGCGAGGUACGAAACUACAACUAUUAUUCAUUACACUCAGCAAGGUAUUUAGGUAUGGACAGAC
rnacentral:lncRNA from 1 species